rnacentral:rRNA from 1 species
GACGAACGCUGGCGGCGUGCCUAAUACAUGCAAGUCGAGCGGGCCUCCGGAGGUGCUUGCACCUCCGGAAGGCCAGCGGCGGACGGGUGAGUAACACGUGGGCAACCUGCCUUUGAGGCCGGGAUAACACCGGGAAACCGGUGCUAAUACCGGAUGCGUCCCCUUUCGCGCCUGCGAGAGGGGAGAAAGACGGUCUUUAAGGCCGUCGCUCAACGAGGGGCCCGCGGCGCAUUAGCUGGUUGGGGGGGUAAGGGCCUACCAAGGCGACGAUGCGUUGCCGACCUGAGAGGGUGAUCGGCCACACUGGGACUGAGACACGGCCCAGACUCCUGCGGGAGGCAGCAGUAGGGAAUCAUCCGCAAUGGGCGAAAGCCUGACGGUGUAACGCCGCGUGAGUGAGGAAGGUUUUCGGAUCGUAAAGCUCUGUUGUGAGGGAAGAACAGCUUCCGGAGGAAAUGCCGGAGGUUUGCCGGUACCUCACCAGAAAGCCCCGGCUAACUACGUGCCAGCAGCCGCCGUAA